GUUGGAUAAGGUGCUGACAGAAGAGAGUGGGCACACAUAACCCCUAGCAUUGUUUAUGUGUGGAGCGAUGCGUGCCCACCGUCUCUUGCUGUCAGCUCUCAACGGAC
rnacentral:pre_miRNA from 1 species